rnacentral:misc_RNA from 1 species
CUAAGGAGCAUUCUCCAAUCCGGUUGUCACACAGGUGAUGACGGUUGGCAGAGCCACUACGAGAGCGAAUGUUUCUCGGUGGAGCUCAUGGGUGGAACGCUGACAACUUCUCCCGCGUAUCGGUUGGUCCUCAGUGGCCGGCCGGCGGUUGAUAUAUCGACACACUGUUGGGUCCUGAAAGAACAGACGUUCUUUCCAGGCAAAAAUACGACGAAAUCUUCUUCGCGGACAUACCGCAGGGUUUCUCUGGCUGGUGCCGCAGUAGCGAGAAGGUUUUGUGUGUUGUUUGAGAACUGCACAGUGGACGCGAGCAUCUUUGUUAGUAAGUGUGUAAGAGCGUAC